CACCUACAGUGACGGAGUGGGAACAAUGAUUUUUCUGCUUUGAACACAUGCCCUGACUUCCGCAUCUGCUUUGGCGAUUGAAGGUCAGGGGUGAAGAAGAUAGGAAAGUAAAUAACAUUUUUGAACCUAAAAUGCCUAAGGCAAAGAAGAAGACAGAAGCUGCCAAAGACGUGUCAAUGAUGGAGUUGACCAAAAAUGAUCCAAAUGGUCCUGAAGAAAAAAAAUCCUUGCCCCCAAGUGGCAGCGGCAGCAGCAUCAGUAGCCUUGGAUCAGGUACAAUCUCUAAAGCUGAAUUCCUAGAAGCCAAGAUCGAAUGGCAAGAAAAAAAUGAUAAAUGAUCUGGAGCAAGAGCGCAAUUUCUUACGUGAGCAAAUCCUGAUGGGGAAGAAGAUAUCAAGUCAACCAAAAGCAGUUGAUUUGGAAGAGAGUGAGAAUUCAGGUGCUUCAGCCCAUGAUGACAUUCCUCCAUCAUCUCCAAAUAUCAGCGAGUCCUCCGACAGUGAUGUAGUUAUUUUCAAGACAGAAAACAGAGCACACAUGGCCAUCAGCAUCUGCACCAGUAGCUGGGCCUAGUCGAACUCAUAUGAGAGUCAAAGGACCAGCUGAGGUCAUCCGUAGAUAUAAAAAAGUCCUGAAAACUUUCAGCCGUGUCCGCACAAUGACAGAAGCCUUCAGGGCAAACGGUGUGGAUCGUGGAACUAUCAAGAUGACGGCUCCAAUUGCAGAGCUCCACAUAGUGGACCCAGAAACCUACAAAAGCCUGAAGUUCGA